rnacentral:lncRNA from 1 species
GCAGGAAGGACAAGGUGGGUUCAGAUUCCCGAGCCCCACCAUGCAGGGGAGCGGGGACGCUCUGCGCUUGCCCUCUGAGGGACAAGGGGUCUCAUUCCUUCCCCCAGUCAACAAGAACAGGAACUUUGUCCAAAACCCACCAGGCCAGGAUGACCCAUUGUUUCAUCUUUUCCAUCUGCAACCAGGGCGCCUGGGACCGCACCCCCACACAAGGCCCCAGCCUGGGGAGGGGGCAGCCACCGGGGAGAGGCUGCCCUUCACUGUUACUCAUUAACCCGACCGAGCUUCAGGAAGCCAGCGAGGGGCUGCAGGGAACCUUUGCCAAGAGCAGGGCCUGGGUGACCAGGUGGCUCCCGGGUACCCCCACACAGCCAGGCUGGGCUGGGACCAGGUGCUGGGAUGGGGGCUGUCAGGGAAGUGCCUCGGGGGCUCGUUCUGCAGACCCAGGAGGGAUCAG